rnacentral:rRNA from 1 species
UUGACCUCAAAUCAGGUAGGACUACCCGCUGAACUUAAGCAUAUCAAUAAGCGGAGGAAAAGAAACUAACAAGGAUUCCCCUAGUAACUGCGAGUGAAGCGGGAAAAGCUCAAAUUUGAAAUCUGGCAGUCUUUUUUUUCUUCUUUGGCUGUCCGAGUUGUAAUCUAGAGAAGUGCUUACCUGCACUGGACCAUGUAUAAGUCUCCUGGAAUGGAGCGUCACAGAGGGUGAGAAUCCCGUCUUUGACAUGGACUGCCAGUGUGUUGUGGUGUGCUCUCAAAGAGUCGAGUUGUUUGGGAAUGCAGCUCUAAAUGGGUGGUAAACUCCAUCUAAAGCUAAAUAUUGGCGAGAGACCGAUAGUGAACAAGUACCGUGAGGGAAAGAUGAAAAGGACUUUGGAAAGAGAGUUAAACAGUAUGUGAAAUUGUUGAAAGGGAAACGCUUGAAGUCAGUUAUGUUGGCUGGGGAUCAACCUAGCUAUUUUUUUGCUGGGUGAAUUUCCUAGUCUGACAGGCCAACAUCAGUCUUGACUGCUGGAAAAGAGCAGAGGGAAUGUGGCACCUUUGGGUGUGUUAUAGCCCUUCGUCAUAUGUGGCAGUUGGGACUGAGGGAUGCAGCAUGCCGUGAGGCUGGGUCUUUGACCACGUUCAUGCUUAGGAUGUUGGCUUUUAAUGGCUUCAAUCGACCCGUCUUGAAACACGGACCAAGGAGUCUAACAUGCCUGCGAGUGUUUGGGUGGGGAAAACCCUUGUGCACAAUGAAAGUGAAAGUUGAGAUCCCUGUCAUGGGGAGCAUCGACGCCCGGACCUGAGCUUUUAGCGACGGAUCCGCGGUAGAGCAUGCAUGUUGGGACCCGAAAGAUGGUGAACUAUGCCUGAAUAGGGCAAAGCCAGAGGAAACUCUGGUGGAGGCUCGUAGCGAUUCUGACGUGCAAAUCGAUCGUCAAAUUUGGGUAUAGGGGCGAAAGACUAAUCGAACCAUCUAGUAGCUGGUUCCUGCCGAAGUUUCCCUCAGGAUAGCAGAAGCUUAUUAUCAGAUUUAUGUGGUAAAGCGAAUGAUUAGAGGCCUUGGGGUUGAAACAACCUUAACCUAUUCUCAAACUUUAAAUAUGUAAGAACGAGCUGUCACUUGACUGGACUGCUCGGUGAUUGAGAGCUUCUAGUGGGCCAUUUUUGGUAAGCAGAACUGGCGAUGCGGGAUGAACCGAUCGCAAGGUUAAGGUGCCAGAGUUCACGCUCAUCAGACACCACAAAAGGUGUUAGUUCAUCUAGACAGCAGGACGGUGGCCAUGGAAGUCGGAACCCGCUAAGGAGUGUGUAACAACUCACCUGCCGAAUGAACUAGCCCUGAAAAUGGAUGGCGCUUAAGCGUGACACCCAUACCUUGCUGUCAGUGU